CCAGACAAUCGAGUGCCACGACGUCGCCGGCAACUGCUCCAAGGGCUGCGAAGGGGCGCUGAGUCCUCUCGAGGGCCGCUGUCACGACGGCUGCGUCUGCUGCGUCCAGAAUCCUUGCGAGACUCCGAUCAGCUGUGCCUUCCUUGACGGUCACUGCAACUCGUCAUGCGCGGAGGAUGAGGUUCCUCUGCCUGACCUCUGUCAUGCGGAAAACUGUUCUUGUUGUGUCAAAGAGGAGUGCAAGCAAAGCAAAUGCUGCAAUUAUGCCGGAGGGAGAUGCGACCGGGCUUGCAGCGAUGGAGAA